rnacentral:rRNA from 1 species
AUCAAAAACAUCGCCUCUUGACUUAUAAUAAGAGGUCCAGCCUGCCCAGUGAAUCUUAAACGGCCGCGGUAUCCUAACCGCGCGAAGGUAGCAUAAUCACUUGUUCUUUAAAUGGGGACUCGUAUCAACGGCAUCACGAGGGCUUUACUGUCUCCUCUUUUUGAUCAGUGAAAUUGAUCUUCCCGUGAAGAAGCGGGAAUAUUUUUAUAAGACGAGAAGACCCCAUGGAGCUUUAAACCAAAUAGCAACUUAACCACUUAUCCCACAAUAAAUUUAAGCCCUGUUAUACGGUUUUUGGUUGGGGUGACCGCGGAGUAAAGCAUAUCCUCCACGACGGAAAGAACACAAUCUUUAUUUAAGAACCACAUUUCUAAAAAUUAGUAUACUAACGUUUACUGACCCGACAAUCGAUCAACGAACCAAGUUACCCUGGGGAUAACAGCGCAAUCUACUUCAAGAGCUCAUAUCGACAAGUAGGCUUACGACCUCGAUGUUGGAUCAGGGUAUCCCGGUGGUGCAGCCGCUACCGAAGGUUCGUUUGUUCAACGAUUAAAACCCUACGUGAUCUGAGU